UUGUGACGCUCGGAGACCGUAUUAAUACGGAGUUUCAGCCGAUUGUUACUUCCGCCUCGCUGUGCUACAAGAAGCACGCUAAGAAUUGCACAUCCAACUUUGCUAUAAGCGUACAAGAAAAAAAGAAUCUUCAUAACUAUGCAACAAAAUUUAUAAGUCUAUUGUUAGGAGAAUGUCACACGUUGAAAGUCGAAAGCAACGUUAUCUUCAUCUUUACAAUGAAACUAAAAUAGACUGCAGAAGUUAAGUAGGAGGAGGAAGUGAAAACAUAUGAGAAUUAUAUUGGUCUCACCUUGACCUUUGACCACGUGCCUCUGCAUGGACUCAGGAAGGACUUCCAGGUCGCGAGUCCUGGAUGG